rnacentral:rRNA from 1 species
CGAACGCUGGCGGCGUGCCUAACACAUGCAAGUCGAACGGGACCAGGGGCAACUCUGGUUCAGUGGCGGACGGGUGCGUAACACGUGAGGAACAUGACCUUCGGCGGGGGAUAGCCGGCCCAACGGCCGGGUAAUACCGCGUACGACCACUCUGGGACAUCCCUAGGUGGUGAAAGCAGCAAUGCGCCGAUGGAGUGCCUCGCGGCCUAUCAGCUAGUUGGUGAGGUAACGGCUCACCAAGGCGACGACGGGUAGCUGGUCUGAGAGGAUGGCCAGCCACAUUGGGACUGAGACACGGCCCAGACUCCUACGGGAGGCAGCAGUGGGGAAUAUUGCGCAAUGGACGAAAGUCUGACGCAGCGACGCCGCGUGUGGGAUGACGGUCUUCGGAUUGUAAACCACUGUCGGGAGGGACGAAUACGCCGCAAGGCGGGUGACGGUACCUCCAAAGGAAGCACCGGCUAACUCCGUGCCAGCAGCCGCGGUAAUACGGAGGGUGCGAGCGUUGUCCGGAAUCACUGGGCGUAAAGGGCGCGUAGGCGGCCUGAUAAGUAGGGGGUGAAAUCUUGCGGCUUAACCGCAAGGCUGCCUUCUAAACUGUCAGGCUCGAGCACAGUAGAGGCAGGUGGAAUUCCCGGUGUAGCGGUGGAAUGCGUAGAGAUCGGGAAGAACAUCAGUGGCGAAGGCGGCCUGCUGGGCUG